rnacentral:rRNA from 1 species
UACGGGGGGGGCAAGCGUUGUCCGGAAUUAUUGGGCGUAAAGAGCUCGUAGGCGGUUUGUCGCGUCUGCUGUGAAAACCCGAGGCUCAACCUCGGGCCUGCAGUGGGUACGGGCAGACUAGAGUGCGGUAGGGGAGAUUGGAAUUCCUGGUGUAGCGGUGGAAUGCGCAGAUAUCAGGAGGAACACCAAUGGCGAAGGCAGAUCUCUGGGCCGUAACUGACGCUGAGGAGCGAAAGCAUGGGGAGCGAACAGG